ACAGAAGGAGACAGACAGUCAGAGGCUUUGGGACACUGACGUCCAUCAGAGUCUCACAGGGACGACGCUGAACAACAGACUGCAUCUAUUCCAGCCUCAUGGCUUCAGAGGAGCAGAGUCCGGCCACUGAACCGCCCGCCUGCAGUCCAGACCUCUGACCAGCUGACAACAUCUGGAGCAUCAUGAAAGCAACAUGAGGACGAAGCAGAGCCAGGACUGCUGAGCAGCUGGAAUCCUCCAUCAGACCAUCACAGACUGAUGUUACAGAGCAAACAUGGACCUGUCCUACUUUUACAGACGUGUCGCUGCCAUCAUUGCCAUCAUCAUCAUGUUCUGUUAUGAAUAAAAUCUGAAUUUCUUUGGA